CCUCUGACGUUAGCGGCGGACGGGUGAGUAACACGUGAGUAACCUGCCCUUGACUUUGGGAUAACUUCAGGAAACUGGGGCUAAUACCGGAUAGGAGCUCCUGCUGCAUGGUGGGGGUUGGAAAGUUUCGGCGGUUGGGGAUGGACUCGCGGCUUAUCAGCUUGUUGGUGGGGUAGUGGCUUACCAAGGCUUUGACGGGUAGCCGGCCUGAGAGGGUGACCGGCCACAUUGGGACUGAGAUACGGCCCAG
rnacentral:rRNA from 1 species